GACGAACGCUGGCGGCGGGCUUAACACAUGCAAGUCGAACGAAGUGGCGAACGGGUGAGUAACGCGUAAUCAACCUGCCCUUCAGAGGGGAACAACAGUUGGAAACGACUGCUAUUACCGCAUACCGAAGGGGGGGAUUGUGGCUGAUUAGCUAGUUGGAGGGGUAACGGCCCACCAAGGCGAUGAUGAGUAGCCGGGCUGGGAGGAUGAACGGCCAAAUUUGGAAUGGGAACCGGCCCAGACUCCUAAGGGAGGGAGCAGUGGGGAAACAUUCGAAAUGGAGGAAAGUCUGGCGGCGCAACGCCGCGUGAGUGAUGAAGGCCUUCGGGUUGUAAAGGUCCUUUCAGCGGGGAGCGGUACCGGCAUAGAAAGCAACGGCUAACUACGUGCCAGCAGCCGCGGUAAUAC
rnacentral:rRNA from 1 species